UACAGAGGUCUCGAGCGUUGUUCGGAUUCAUUGGGCGUAAAGGGUGCGUAGGUGGCGCUGUAAGUCGGGUGUGAAAUCCUGAGGCUUAACCUCGGAACUGCAUUCGAUACUGCGGCGCUUGAGGACUGGAGAGGAGACUGGAAUUCAUGGUGUAGCAGUGAAAUGCGUAGAGAUCAUGAGGAAGACCAGUGGUGAAGGCGGGUCUCUGGACAGUUCCUGACACUGAGGCACGAAGGCCAGGGGAGCAAACGGG
rnacentral:rRNA from 1 species